GAAGUUUAUAGUUUAUCUUCCUAUUAACACAUAAAGCGUGAUGGGUCACAAUUGUGGCCAUCAGGCAUAGGUCGACAGGCCAUAAUCAUGGCCCAGAUAGAUGCAUUUAAUCUACGGGUGUUUGUUGGGGGUCUAAUGUCACUCAAACACUCCAAUACCCCCCAGAAUGCAAGGCGACUAAUAGUUCAACUAAUGGCUUUUCAGAUGAUGUAAAACUUGCCACCAUUAUAUACUAAGAAGAUAUUUUAAUUAUUUUUUGUUUUUUAUGUGUGCAUGGUAGUUUGUUUAUGGUGUGUGUG